UCAAGCUACAAAGAGCGCAAGGGGAAUGCCUUGGCACUGAGAGCCGAUGAAGGACGCGACUAACUGCGAUAAGCUAUGGGGAGCCGUAAGUGGGCAUUGAUCCAUAGAUUUCCGAAUGGAGCAAUCCGGCUGGAGUCAUGUCCAGUCACUGUAUGAUGAAUCCAUAGUCAUACAGGGGGAACCGCCUGAACUGAAACAUCUAAGUAGGGCGAGGAAAAGACAUCAACAGAGAUUCCGCUAGUAGUGGCGAGCGAACGCGGAAGAGGCCAAACCGGGGGUAGCAAUACCCCCGGGGUUCGGACAGCAACAUGUACGACAAGGGAUAGCAGAAUGGCAUGGGAAGGCCAACGAAACAGUGUGAAAGUCACGUAUGCGAAAUUCCGAGUCGGCUAGCUGUAUCCAGAGUACCGCCGGACACGUGAAACCCGGUGGGAAUAUGGGGGGACCACCCUCCAAGCCUAAAUACUACUCAGUGACCGAUAGCGAAAAGUACUGUGAAGGAAAGGUGAAAAGAACCCCGGGAGGGGAGUGAAAUAGAACCUGAAACCUUGUGCUUACAAGCACCGAGAGCCCGUCAAUGGGUGAUCGGGUACCUAUUGUAGAAUGGUCCGGCGAGUGAGUAUAACUGGCAAGGUUAAGGACUUAAGGUCUGGAGCCGUAGCGAAAGCGAGUCUGAAACGGGCGCGUGAAGUCAGUUGUAUUCGACCCGAAACCGGGUGACCUACCCAUGUCCAGGUUGAAGUGGAGGUAAAACUCCAUGGAGGACCGAACCGACUCCUGUUGAAAUAGUAGCGGAUGAGGUGUGGGUAGCGGAGAAAUUCCAAUCGAACCCGGAGAUAGCUGGUUCUCUCCGAAAUAGCUUUAGGGCUAGCCUCGUAUUAGAUUACUGGAGGUAAAGCACUGAAUGGGCUAGGGGCCGAAAGGUUACUGAACCCUAUCAAACUCAGAAUGCCAGAUAAUUGAUGUACGGGAGUCAGACAGUGUGAGAUAAGUUUCAUUGUCAAAAGGGAAAGAGCCCAGACCCACAGCUAAGGUCCCUAAAUACGGUUAAGUGGAGAAGGAUGUGGGGGUGCACAGACAACCAGGAUGUUGGCUUAGAAGCAGCCAUUCAUUAAAAGAGUGCGUAAUAGCUCACUGGUCGAGUGCCCCUGCGCCGAAAAUUUAACGGGGCUAAAUCGUAUACCGAAGCUUGGGAUAUUCUGCUGCUCUCCUUGUAUUUAAGAAAGGUUGACGGGAAUUUACGCUGCAAGGCGUUGAAGAAUUCCAAAGACAGCCUAAGGGGAACGUUAGUUGAAGAAGUAAAGAUGCUGUGAAAGAUAGAAAUUGCAGCGUUAAAUUACCUUUGGCUAAGACGUAUGCCCGCUUAAAUCUGAGGAGAGCGGCAGAAUAUGGUAGGAGAGCGUUGUGUAAGGGGUGAAGUCAGAGCGUGAGCGCUGGUGGACUUUACACAAGUGAGAAUGCCGGAAUGAGUAGCGAGAAAUAUGUGAGAAUCAUAUUGGCCGAAAGUCUAAGGUUUUUGGAGGAAGGUUCGUCCGCUCCAAGUAAGCCGGGAGCUAAGGUGAGGCCGAAAGGCGUAGCCGAUGCACAUACGGUUGACAUUCCGUAGCCGCCAAAAGAUUUAAGUAAGAGGACACCUUGAAAGGGCAUAACCCAGGCGUUGGUUGACCUGGGCGAAAGGGACCGAAAUUAGAGUAGGGAAGUAUGCUUGGACGAGGGCGAGAAAAGUCUUAUGUAUAUCUGAGGCGCCCGUACCGCAAACCGACACAGGUAGACAGGAAGAGAAUUCUAAGGCCAACGGGAGAAGGGUAGUUAAGGAACUCGGCAAAUUGACCCCGUAACUUAGGGAAAAGGGGUGCCACAGCAAUGUGGCCGCAGAGAAUAGGCCCAGGCAACUGUUUAGCAAAAACACAGGUUUCUGCCAAAUCGAAAGAUGAAGUAUAGGAGCUGACACCUGCCCGGUGCUGGAAGGUUAAGAGGAGAUGUGCAAGCAUUGAAUUGAAGCCCCAGUAAACGGCGGCCGUAACUAUAACGGUCCUAAGGUAGCGAAAUUCCUUGUCGGGUAAGUUCCGACCCGCACGAAAGGCGUAAUGAUUUGGGCACUGUCUCAACGAGAGACUCGGUGAAAUUAUAGUACCCGUGAAGAUGCGGGUUACCCGCGACAGGACGGAAAGACCCCAUGGAGCUUUACUGUAGCUUGAUAUUGAGUGUUGGUACCGCUUGUACAGGAUAGGUAGGAGCCGUAGAGAUCGGAACGCUAGUUUCGAUGGAGGCAUUGGUGGGAUACUACCCUAGCUGUAUGAACACUCUAACCCGCGCCACUAAUCGUGGCGGGAGACAGUGUCAGGUAGGCAGUUUGACUGGGGCGGUCGCCUCCUAAAAUGUAACGGAGGCGCCCAAAGGUUCCCUCAGAAUGGUUGGAAAUCAUUCGCAGAGUGUAAAGGUAGAAGGGAGCUUGACUGCGAGACUGACAAGUCGAGCAGGGACGAAAGUCGGGCUUAGUGAUCCGGUGGUUCCGUAUGGAAGGGCCAUCGCUCAACGGAUAAAAGCUACCCUGGGGAUAACAGGCUUAUCUCCCCCAAGAGUCCACAUCGACGGGGAGGUUUGGCACCUCGAUGUCGGCUCAUCACAUCCUGGGGCUGUAGUAGGUCCCAAGGGUUGGGCUGUUCGCCCAUUAAAGUGGUACGCGAGCUGGGUUCAGAACGUCGUGAGACAGUUCGGUCCCUAUCUGUCGUGGGCGCAGGAUAUUUGAGGAGAGCUGUCCUUAGUACGAGAGGACCGGGAUGGACGCACCUCUGGCGCACCAGUUGUUCCGCCAGGAGCACAGCUGGGCAGCUAAGUGCGGAUCGGAUAAACGCUGAAAGCAUCUAAGCGUGAAGCCGACUCCAAGAUAAGAUAUCCCAUAGCGUAAGCUAGUAAGACCCCUUGAAGACUACAAGGUUGAUAGGCUGCGUGUGUAAGUGUAGUAAUGCAUUGAGCUUGGCAGUACUAAUCGGUCGAGGGCUUGACCAU
rnacentral:rRNA from 1 species